GACGAACGCUGGCGGCGUGCUUAACACAUGCAAGUCGAACGAAGUGGCGAACGGGUGAGUAACGCGUAAUCAACCUGCCCUUCAGAGGGGGACAACAGUUGGAAACGACUUCUAAUACCGCAUACUGAAGUAGGGGAUUGCGUCUGAUUAGCUAGUUGGAGGGGGAACGGCCCACCAAGGCGAUGAUCAGUAGCCGGUCUGAGAGGAUUAACGGCCACAUUGGGACUGAGACACGUCCCAGACUCCUACGGGAGGCAGCAGUGGGGAAUCUUCCGCAAUGGACGAAAGUCUGACGGAGCAACGCCGCGUGAGUGAUGACGGCCUUCGGGUUGUAAAGCUCUGUUAAUCGGGACGCGGUACCGGAAUAGAAAGCCACGGCUAACUACGUGCCAGCCGCCGCGGUAAUUC
rnacentral:rRNA from 1 species